CUGCUCCCAGGCAUUCUGGAUGAUCCACCCAGCUAAUUUUAUUAUUUGUUUUUAUUUUGAUAGAGACGGGGGUCUCACUAGGUUGUCCAGGCUGGUCUCCAACUCCCGGGCAGAAGCGAUCCUCCAUCCUCAGCCUCCCAAAGCACUGGGAUUACAGGCAUGAGCCACCGCACCCAGCUCUCCGUGUGUUUUUCACAUGCUUUAGUCUCCCAUUCAAAAGCCUGUGGUUCCUUCUCUUGUUCAUCAUGGUAUCCCCUGUGACCAACACGGUGCCUGACACAUUGGUGCCUAGAUACUUUUUGAGUGAAUGAAGGAAUAAUUAGGGGUGGAAUCUGGUGUUGAGUUGCUCCAUCUUGUGAAAGUUGCAGAUACCAGGACAAAAUCACAUUGUCAGGUCCAAACAAAUUGGAGCCAUGAGAACACCAAGGAGAAGGUCUCGUGCUUGCAUGUCUGAGAUAGGAAUUAUCU
rnacentral:lncRNA from 1 species